UACGUAGGCAGCAAGCGUUGUUCGGAAUUACUGGGCGUAAAGAGUGUGUAGGCGGUGCUCUAAGUUCGGGGUGAAAUCUCCUGGCUCAACUGGGAGGGUGCGCCGGAAACUGGGGUGCUGGAGCGCGGGAGAGGAAAGCGGAAUUCCUGGUGUAGCGGUGAAAUGCGUAGAUAUCAGGAGGAACACCGGCGGUGUAGACGGCUUUCUGGACCGUAGCUGACGCUGAGACACGAAAGCGUGGGUAGCAAACAGG
rnacentral:rRNA from 1 species